AAGACAUAGACGGCCACCUGUUCUAGUUAGCUAUCUAGCGUGCUCUGAACACCUGUGUGUAAGCGUAACAGGGAGGAAAUGUAGUUGGUCAACUGGAGGACCACACAGCUUGCGGAUCUGUGCACAACUUCUACAGAAAGCAGCAGAACCAAUCCCAGGUGAGGAUCCAGAUGCUCUGACCAUCUGCGUAGGAGACUGAGUGAAACUACAAGUCCAUUAAAGAAAAUGGAACCAGCCAAGAUGGAUGGGACCCUUCCAGGUGACCAUGGCAAAACCAACUGUAAUCCGGGUUGGGAAGAGGUCCGGCUGGCAUCAUCUCUCCCACUGCAAAUAUCUUCCAGAGUGGAAGCCAUGGAUGAGCGACUGGAGGGAGGGAGAGCACGGCCCAGAGAACAUCUGAAGGAGGAAAAAUGUCAGAGCCAAAGGACAGAAGCAGAGGGCCCAGACCAAACGGCCGGAAAGAAAGAUGAAAAAGAAGGCUCUAGCCAACGAGCAGAAGAUGGAGACAUUUGACACUCAGGUUCUAUAACUAGGAAACAGGAGAGACCAAGCUAUCACGUUGUUUCAUUCAGACGACAGCCACAUAGUGGACAUGAAGGCUUGAUGAGGAUGGCGGAGGUGGUCAUGGGACCGCAGACAGCACCAUGAAACGUUCAAAGACCUCAAGCUGCAGCGAAUUAGGGUGUCACCCAUCUUCCCGAUUAUCCCCUGGAUCAACAACAGGAUCUGGCAGUAACCAUGGAGGAACAUCCCCUUUCACCACAGAAGGGCUAACCUCCAAUUCCCUGAAACCACUCAUCAGCAAGCUUUACAACUGUCCAAACAAAACCACUGCCUUGUCUACUAGAAUAUUCCUAACAGUAAUCUAGAACACUAGCAGCCAUUCAACAACCUUUCAACCUAACCGAAUAAGCUAAUGACAACUUUUUACACCAUAUAUCCAAAGGCAUCUCACCUGCCUCCACUAGUAAGGCACAUACAGAUGUUGAUUUAAAGGCACCAAUACAUAUCCUUAAAGCUUUAUGCUGGAUUCUGUCCAAGCUCUGAAGCCAAGUUAAUUUGCUAAAUUGUAAUUACUCCGCUACUAUGGCCCAUUUAUUGCCUUACCUCCUCACACCAUUUGCACACACUGUAUAUAGACUUUGUUUCUAUUGUUUUAGACUGUAUGCUUGUUUAUUCCACGUGUAACUCUGUGUUGUUGUUUGUGUCACACUGCUUUGCUUUAUCUUGGCCAGGUCGCAGUUGUAAAUGAGAACUUGUUCUCAACUAGCCUACCUGGUAAAAUAAAGGUCGAAUAAAAAAAUGAAU